UACAGAGGGUGCGAGCGUUUAAUCGGAAUUACUGGGCGUAAAGCGUGCGUAGACGGUUAUUUAAGUCGGGUGUGAAAGCCCCCGGGCUCAACCUGGGAAUUGCAUUCGAGACUGAAUAGCUAGGGUACGGUAGAGGGAAGCGGAAUUUCCGGUGUAGCGGUGAAAUGCGUUGAUAUCAUCAGGAACACCGGAGGCGAAGGCGGCUCACUGGGGGGUCUUCUGACGCUGAGGAACGAAAGCCAGGGGAGCGAACGGG
rnacentral:rRNA from 1 species